rnacentral:rRNA from 1 species
UACAUGGGGUGCAAACGUUGCUCGGAAUUAUUGGGCGUAAAGCGCGCGUAGGCGGUUACCCAAGUCGAGUGUGAAAGCCCCCGGCUCAACUGGGGAGGGUCAUUCGAUACUGAUCGACUGGAAGGCAGGAGAGGGAAGCGGAAUUCCCGGUGUAGUGGUGAAAUGCGUAGAUAUCGGGAGGAACACCAGUGGCGAAGGCGGCUUCCUGGCCGUGUU